rnacentral:rRNA from 1 species
UACGUAGGGUCCGAGCGUUGUCCGGAAUUACUGGGCGUAAAGAGCUCGUAGGUGGUUUGUCGCGUCUGCUGUGAAAACUGGGGGCUCAACCCCCAGCCUGCAGUGGGUACGGGCAGACUAGAGUGCGGUAGGGGAGAUUGGAAUUCCUGGUGUAGCGGUGGAAUGCGCAGAUAUCAGGAGGAACACCGAUGGCGAAGGCGGGUCUCUGGGCAGUAACUGACGCUGAGGAGCGAAAGCGUGGGGAGCGAACAGG